CCCAGCUUGCUGGGUGGAUCAGUGGCGAACGGGUGAGUAACACGUGAGCAACCUGCCCCUGACUCUGGGAUAAGCGCUGGAAACGGCGUCUAAUACUGGAUACGAGUAGCGACCGCAUGGUCAGUUACUGGAAAGAUUUAUUGGUUGGGGAUGGGCUCGCGGCCUAUCAGCUUGUUGGUGAGGUAAUGGCUCACCAAGGCGUCGACGGGUAGCCGGCCUGAGAGGGUGACCGGCCACACUGGGACUGAGACACGGCCCAGACUCCUACGGGAGGCAGCAGUGGGGAAUAUUGCACAAUGGGCGCAAGCCUGAUGCAGCAACGCCGCGUGAGGGAUGACGGCCUUCGGGUUGUAAACCUCUUUUAGCAGGGAAGAAGCGAAAGUGACGGUACCUGCAGAAAAAGCACCGGCUAACUACGUGCCAGCAGCCGCGGUAAUACGUAGGGUGCAAGCGUUAUCCGGAAUUAUUGGGCGUAAAGAGCUCGUAGGCGGUUUGUCGCGUCUGCUGUGAAAUCCGGAGGCUCAACCUCCGGUCUGCAGUGGGUACGGGCAGACUAGAGUGCGGUAGGGGAGAUUGGAAUUCCUGGUGUAGCGGUGGAAUGCGCAGAUAUCAGGAGGAACACCGAUGGCGAAGGCAGAUCUCUGGGCCGUUACUGACGCUGAGGAGCGAAAGGGUGGGGAGCAAACAGGCUUAGAUACCCUGGUAGUCCACCCCGUAAACGUUGGGAACUAGUUGUGG
rnacentral:rRNA from 1 species